UCUCCGCACGGAAAUCGGUCCCGCCGAAGGUCGGUCUGUGCGCCUCCCUGGAGCUCGGGCACCUGGCGCCUCGCUCUACUUUUACGUUCAGAGUCUGCUGUGUUUGACCUUUCUGGAAGACAGUUUAUGUUCGUUUUAUGUUGAAUUCGUUUUUCGUUUUGUUAUCCCCUUUUUAUUGUUAUCUAUGUUAUCUUUCUCCUUUAUCUCUGGUGCUUGAAGAAACGGUGAUAUUUUUGGAAAGUCUGAAUUUUACUAUCGUUGCCAAAGCAGAGUUGAAAAAAAUAAAGCUUAAAGAGUGAAAAAAAACAAACUCCUUUCAAGAAGGAGAAUUGUUAAGAGAAAAAUGUACCAGGUAGAGAGAAUCUGGAGAAUAAGUCACUGGAAGAAGUAACUAAUAAAUCUUAUGAAAAAGAGUGAACCAAAGUCGAUCUCUGAGGAUUAUCUUCAACAACACAAACUUAUCCUGGAAGAACCGCCGAGACCUUCCGUCGCGGGCCUCCCCUCCACCCUGGCACCGCUGGACCGCUGGCACUGUGCCAUCGCCGCGUUAAUGAAGAGAAUGUCUUGGACCAGACUGAUCAAGGAGUAGACGUGACCUACAUUUUCUUCCCCCGGGAUGCUGCAGCCCUGGAUCAGAAUUACAAAUGUGAUAUAUUAUUAUGGACAUUUUAGUUAUAGGUCUUAGAAGGGAAAUAUUUCAGUCACCUUAAAAUUAGAAUGUUAUACCCAAUUUACAGUGUUAUUUCUUUAUGUAAACCUCACUCAUAUUGUCAAAUUAUAAAGGCUUAGGAGAACACAUACAAAUUAUAUUGUUGCCGGCGCAGCUGCAUGG